rnacentral:lncRNA from 1 species
UUAAUCUAAGAUUUUAAUAGCUAACUCCCAAACGAAGGCUCAUGAAAGCCCCAUAAGUAAUAGUAUCAGCAACAGCUUUGGUAUUGGUAUUUAGAGCUCUAUAGAAUAUUUCAAGCAAAUUUCUCAAUGAAAUACUGUGAUUGGGGACCAACAUCAACUUCUUCUUAUACCUCAACUAUGUUUUGUAUAAUGGUUCUGAAUGCAACUACCUGAAAUUAUAAAUCUCAUCCUUCAACUGCAGUUGGAAGAAUUAGU